GACGAACGCUGGCGGCGUGCCUAAUACAUGCAAGUCGAGCGAAGUUUUUCUGGUGCUUGCACUAGAAAAACUUAGCGGCGAACGGGUGAGUAACACGUAAAGAACCUGCCUCAUAGACUGGGACAACUAUUGGAAACGAUAGCUAAUACCGGAUAACAGUAUUUCUCGCAUGAGAGAUAUUUAAAAGUUGGUUAUGCUAACACUAUGAGAUGGCUUUGCGGUGCAUUAGCUAGUUGGUGGGGUAAAGGCCCACCAAGGCGACGAUGCAUAGCCGACCUGAGAGGGUGAUCGGCCACACUGGGACUGAGACACGGCCCAGACUCCUACGGGAGGCAGCAGUAGGGAAUCUUCCGCAAUGGGCGAAAGCCUGACGGAGCAACGCCGCGUGAGUGAAGAAGGAUUUCGGUUCGUAAAGCUCUGUUGUUAGGGAAGAAUGGAUAUGUAGUAACUAUACAUAUAAGA
rnacentral:rRNA from 1 species